GGGCCCGCACAAGCGGCGGAGCAUGUUGCUUAAUUCGACGCAACGCGAAGAACCUUACCAAGGUUUGACAUGCAGGGAAAAGCCGUAGAGAUACGGUGUCCGUAAGGGUCCUGCACAGGUGGUGCAUGGCUGUCGUCAGCUCGUGUCGUGAGAUGUUGGGUUAAGUCCCGCAACGAGCGCAACCCUCGUCCUAUGUUGCCAGCGGAUAAUGCCGGGGACUCAUAGGAGACUGCCGGGGUCAACUCGGAGGAAGGUGGGGAUGACGUCAAGUCCUCAUGCCCCUUAUGUCUUGGGCUGCAAACAUGCUACAAUGGCCGGUACAAAGGGUUGCGAGACCGCAAGGUGGAGCGAAUCUCAAAAAGCCGGUCUCAGUUCGGAUUGGGGUCUGCAACUCGACCCCAUGAAGUCGGAGUCGCUAGUAAUCGCAGAUCAGCAACGCUGCGGUGAAUACGUUCCCGGGCCUU
rnacentral:rRNA from 1 species